rnacentral:lncRNA from 1 species
CUAAAAUGGCUGUUCCUCUUGUUGCUUCUCCCACUUUCUGGACAAUGAAGUUGUCUGCAAGGCCAGUGAGGAAUCUGUUUGACCUUAUGCUCUUGGCUGAGUUUGACAUCCAACAAAUAUCCGGGUAAUUAAAGUCCCCCAUUACUACUAUCUCCCUUCUUUUUGCAUGCUUGGCCAUCUGUUCCAGGAAGGCAUCAUCUAUGUCCUCCGUUUGGCUUGGGGAUCUACAGUAAACUCCCACAAUGAGGUCACUGUUAUUCUUCUCUCCCUUAAUUUUGACCCAAAUGCUCUCACUUUGGCUUUGAGGUUCUAAAUCUUGGAUCUCUUCACAGGUAUACACAUCCCUGACAUAUAAUGCCACUCCUCCUCCUUUCUUGUCUGGUCUGUUUCUCUGAAAUAGAUUGUAUCCCCCCAUUAUUACAUUCCAAUCGUGGGACUUAUCCCACCAGGUUUCAGUGAUGUCUAUUAUGUCAUAUUUAGUUUGCUGUACCAAGAGCUCAAGCUCAUCUUGUUUAUUUCCCAUGCUUUGCGCAUUAGUGUACAGACAUUGAAGUCCAUUAAUCAUUCCCCCGUGUCUCUUAUUUAAGGAUUUUUUCCUCCCACCACUAGGUCUGCGUGCUGUUUGCUCCAUUUGAUCUAUGACAUUUGGAUGAUCAUCUUCAUCAAUUGAUAGACUCCUACCUUCAGGAGCACUGUCUCCCUCCCCCACAUUAGUCAGUUUAAAGCCCUCCUGGUGAGGUUUCUGAGAUUUUUGGCAAAAACAUUUCUCCCAACCGUUGUGAGGUGUAGCCCAUCGCUUGCCAGAAGUCCAUCUUCAAGAAACUGCAGUCCG